AUCUCUCUGAAGAACUCAGCAUUGACGGCUUCAGCAACGCUGUGCCACUCCGUGAAUUUUCUCUUAUUUGUUUUGCAAAAGCACUUCCUUUGAUUUCUCCACCUCACCCACAGGUACCUCAAUUUCUGCUUGUGAAAUUGCGCUUCCUUGAUCUACCUUGGUCUACGGUCGCCAUGUCACUGGCGGAGCGCUGCAACAGCCGGCUUAUGUAUAUGCAUGAGAUCCACAAGGCAUUUUGCAUUGACUAUUUAUGGCAGUAAGUGGGCGUGGUGAGGGCGGGAUGUGACUAAAAAGCAGCUGAGAAACAUUCUAGAUAGUCUCCGAUUUAUGAAGCAGACAUUGCGUGCAGCUGUGCGUACUCCAUGUUUGAUAGAUCACAAACCUACUUGCUCGAGUUCUGAUCAGGUGGGCCAUUCCUCCCAAUCACACCCCUCCAGGUCAAGCUGUCAUUGCCCACGUGAGCAUUGAAGUCCCCCAGCAGGACAAUGGAGUCCCCUGAUGGAGCACUAUCUAGCACUCGUCCCAGGGACUCCAAAAAGGGUGGGUACUCUGAACUGAUAUUUGGCCCAUAAGCACAAACAACAGUCAGGACCCGUUCCCCGACCCGAAGGCGCAAGGAAGCUACCCUCUUGUCCCCCGGGGUAAACCCCAACACACAGGCAGAGAGUCUCGGGGCUAACAAAAAGCCAACCCCAGCCCUCCGCCUCUCACCCGGAGCAACUCCAGCAAAGUAGAGUGUCCAACCCCUCUCCAGGUCUCGGGUUCCAGAGCCAAUGCAAUGUGUCGAGGUGAGUCCGACUAUAUCUAGCCGGUACCGCUCAACCUCUGCCACAAGCUCCGGCUCCUUCCCCGCCAGCGAGGUGACGUUCCAUGUCCCAAAAACUAGUUUUCUUGUCCGGGGAUUGGACCGCCAAGGCUCCCGCCUUGGUCUGCCACCCGAUUCACAUUGCACCGGACCCUUCACGUUCCUCCUGCGGGUGGUGGGUCCACAGUUGGACGAGCCCAUGUAUCCGGUUCGGGCUGGGCCCAGCCGGGCCCCAUGGGCGAAAGCCCGGCCACCAGGCGCUCGCUCACGGGCCCCAACCCCAGGCCUGGCUCCAGUGUGGGACCCCGGUAACCCUCCGGGCCGGGUACUCCGACUCUUCGUUUUAACCGCCAUGAAAGAUCCUUCGAACCGUUCUUUGUCUCACCCUUCACCUAAGACCAAUUUGUCAUGGGAGACCCUACCAGGGGCACUAAGUGCCCCAGACAACAUAGCUCCUAGGAUCAUUAGGGCACUCAAACUCCUCCACCACGAUAAGGUGACGGUUCAAGGAGGAGCUGGUGUUUUGUUAUUGGACUUCUGUGCAAGCCGCAGUUUGGCCAUAACGAACACCAUGUUCGAACAUAAGGAUGCCCACCGGUACACUUGGUACCAGGGCAGCCUAGGUCACAGGUCGAUGAUAGAUUUUGUAGUCGUAUCAUCUGACCUGCGGCCGUAUGUUUUGGACACCCGAGUGAAGAGAGGGGCGGAGCUGUCAACUGAUCACCACCUGGUGGUGAGUUGGAUCAGAUGGCAAGGGAACAUGCCGCGUAGACCUGGCAGACCCAAACGCAUAGUGAGGGUCUGCUGGGAACGCCUGGCAGAAGAACCUGUCAAGACGGUCUUCAACUCCCACCUCCGGCAGAGCUUUGACCACGUCCCGAGAGCAGUGGGGGACAUUGAGUCCGAGUGGGCCUUGUUCCACUCUGCGAUUGUCGAGGCGGCUGUUGCUAGCUGUGGUCGUAAGGUGGCCGGUGCCAGUCGUGGUGGCAACCCCCGUACCCGCUGGUGGACACCAGAGGUUCGGGGAGCCGUCAGGCUGAAGAAGGAGGCCUACAGGGCGUGGCUGGUCUGUGGGUCUCCGGAGGCAGCAGACAGGUACCGGAUAGCCAAGCGGGGUGCAGCAGUGGCAGUUGCCGAGGCAAAAUCUCGGGCGUGGGAGGAGUUUGGUGAGGCCAUGGAGAAAGACUAUCGAUCGGCUCCAAAGAGGUUCUGGCAAACUGUCCGGCGCCUCAGGAGAGGAAGGCAGCAACUCGCUCACACUGUUUACAGUGGGGAUGGGGAGCUGCUGACGUCAACUGAGGCUAUAGUCGGACGGUGGAAGGAAUACUUUGAGGAGCUCCUCAAUCCCACCAAUGCGCAUUCCGAGGAGGAACCAGAGCUGGGAGGCCUGGGGAGGGACUGUCCGAUCUCGGGGGCAGAAGUUGCUGAGGUAGUCAAACAAUUACACAGCGGCGGAGCCCCGGGGGCGGAUGAGGUUCGUCCUGGGUAUCUCAAGGCUAUGGAUGUUGUAGGGCUGUCAUGGUUGACACGUCUCUACAACAUUGCGUGGUCAUCGGGGGCAGUUCCUAGGGAGUGGCAGACCGGGGUGGUGGUCCCCAUCUUUAAGAAGGGUGACCUGAGGGUGUGUUCCAACUAUAGGGGGAUCACACUCCUCAGCCUCCCUGGAAAGGUCUACUCCAAGGUACUGGAGAGGAGGGUCCGAUCGAUAGUUGAAUCUAAGAUAGAGGAGGAGCAAUGUGGUUUUCGUCCUGGCCGUGGAACUGUGGACCAGCUCUAUACCCUUGCAAGGGUGAUGGAGGGGGCAUGGGAGUUUGCCCAACCAAUCCACAUGUGCUUUGUGGAUUUGGAGAAGGCUUAUGACCUUGUCCCCAGGGGCAUCCUGUGGGGGACGCUCCAGGAGUAUGGGGUGGGUGGCUUUCUGUUAAGGGCCAUUCAGUCCCUUUACCAGAGGAGCGUGAGUUUGGUCCGCAUAGCCGGUAGUAAGUCGGACCUGUUCCCAGUGAGGGUUGGACUCCGCCAGGGCUGCCCUUUGUCACCGGUUCUGUUCAUCACUUUUAUGGACAGAAUUUCUAGACGCAGCCGUGGUGUGGAGUGUGUCGAGUUUGGUGGUAGGAGAAUCUCGUCUCUGCUUUUUGCAGAUGAUGUGGUCCUCCUAGCUUCAUCCAGCUCUGACCUUCAGCUCUUGCUGGGUAGGUUUGCGGCCGAAUGUGAAGCGGCUGGGAUGAGGAUCAGCACCUCCAAAUCUGAGACCAUGGUUCUCGACCGGAAAAGGGUGGCUUGCCACCUCCGGGUCGGGGGAGAGGUCCUACCUCAAGUGGAGGAGUUUAAGUAUCUCGGGAUCUUGUUCACGAGUGAGGGUAGGAGGGAUCGGGAGAUCGACAGGCGGAUUGGUUCGGCGUCUGCAGUGAUGCGGACGCUGAGCCGAUCUGUCGUGGGGAAGAGGGAGCUAAGCCAGAAAGCCAGGCUCUCGAUUUACCGGUCGAUCUACGUCCCAAUCCUCACCUAUGGUCAUGAGCUUUGGGUAAUGACCGAAAGAACGAGAUCGCGGAUACAAGCGGCCGAAAUGAGUUUCCUACGUAGGGUGGCCGGGCUCAGCCUUAGAGAUAGGGUGAGGAGCUCGGACAUUCGGGAGGGACUCGGAGUAGAACCGCUGCUCCUCCGGAUCGAAAGGAGCCAGUUGAGGUGGUUUGGGCAUCUGGUCAGGAUGCCUCCUGGACGCCUCCCCGGGGAGGUGUUUCGGGCAUGUCCUGCCGGCAGAAGGCCCCCGGGUCGACCCAGGACACGUUGGAGAGGUUACAUCUCCAAUCUGGUCCGGGAACGCCUUGGGGUCCUGCCGGAGGAGCUGGUGGAAGAGGCCAGGGAGAGGACGGCCUGGAGCUCCCUAGUUGGGAUGCUGCCCCCGCGACCCGGACCCGGAUAAGCGGAGGAAGACGAGACGAGAGACGAGACAAACCUACUUGGCAGCUACGUUUUGGGCAGUAGAGAGAGAUUUGGUGGACAUGAUUCAUACAACUGAGAGUGAUGCUGAGAGUGGACAAGCAGACGAGUAGCAACACCUGGUUUCCUAACGUGUUACAGAGGAGACCUCAGCAGUACCAAUGCUGGCCUGGACUUAUGUAGUUGUAGUUACUACUGCCCCUUCCUGACGAGCACAAACACCCGACGAUGGACAGAAGCAGGCCUGCAGAGCGAGUCCAUCUCAGAGGACUUUUGCCUCAGCAGAAGAGAGGUGGAUUCAUCCAACGGCUCAGAAGGUUUUAGUGAUCCUGUAAAACAGCUGGCAGGGCCUGCAGCAUCUCAAACUAAUCCAAACUGUAAUGGAAAAACCUUCCAAGUGAAGCUCCUUUGCAGUCUUUAAAUAAAAACAUGCUCAUCUUUCUAGAUAUGAAGUGUUUAUCACACUGCUGUGUCACUUUGUGUUCAGUAGCAGUUAGACACAGUUAUGGGUUAUCUAUUUGGUGAUUUAUUUAUGUAAUCUAGUAAGAGAAAUGUGUGAGUGGUUAACUUUCUGAACAGCUCAGGUUGAUGCUGAGCAUCUCCCUUAGAAUGUUUAAUGUAGAAAAACAGUUUCUUGUUUGAAAUGUUUCAAGUCUCCUUUUUGAAAAGCGAGUGACUUAACUGUAUCGUGUCUGUACAAGAACAAUGGCUCUGUCGGCUCGUGGUUUCACUCGUCUCUUCAGCCAGAGAGUUAAUGAGGAUCAGGGAGGAGCUUUCAAGUCAAACACAAACCCCAAAUUUUUGCUGUUGAGCCUGUAAACCAAAAAACUAACAAAGACCCAUACCGUUAUUUAUAGAGUUAAUAUCUUAUAUUUCCAUUCAUCUGAGGUUGCUAGUAAAGCAGCUCCAUUAGCAAUAUAAUGCAAUCGAUUGCCCAUAAGCUCCUUUAUAAGGAACUCUGUAUCUCGCAUUAGUAACAGAUAAUUGUAAUAAAAUUUGCCAUAACAGAAAAUGUUGAAUAAAAGAGGAGAAAUCCAUUGAAACCCCAUUACCUGUCAGCAAUAAUGUACAGUAGUUAAAUCAGGGGGAGGAUAGAAGGUCCUUACUGACAAAUCACAGAGGAGCAUUUCUGAACUGAGUGAAAUAGUCUAAUAGUUCUGAACAACAAAUUCCUAAAAAAUAUCUCCAAAAAUGCCUCUCUGCUUUCCCCCAAUAACUGAAUCAAAGCUGACCCAUCAUGGUCUUAGAGGGCCUCUAUCCUGCAUGUUUCAGAUGUUUCUCUGCUCUAACUCGACUGAUCUGACUGACUUCUACAUAAUUAAUGCUGAAAAGAUUAAUCAUCAAUUAAAUCAGGUGUGUUGGAGAAAAACAGCAAGAACAUGCAGGAUGGUGGCUUUGAAGCACCAGGUUAAACCCCACCUACAGGCCAAGGACGCUCCAACAUUACUUUCUGUCUUUUAUUGUCUGGUAUUUCUAGAGAAAAGAGAGAACAUGAUCCAAAUGGUUGAAUUUGUCAAGUUUAAGAAUCAGUAUAAUGUUGGUGUUUUCACUUGAACAGUAGCUAAAUGACUUUUAAAAUAUUCAAAUAAAGUCAGCAGCAUUUUACUUUUAUUUGUUCGACUGAUUAGUAAAUUUUCUUAACUGUGACCAAAAAAAGAACAGUUUAUCAUUUUUGAUUAUACUUUUUUGACCCCAAUGCAAAAUACUUACAGCUGCUGUAACAGAUCUACAGAACAAGCUAGGUUCUGAACCCAAACGCAGUCACAGAACAGUGAUCCAAUAUCGCUGAGCUGAACCUCUCACGCCAGUGGCGUUUUGUUGCUAAAUACGCAAAUGCAUGAUGAAUGGAGGACCCAGGGAAGUACGCCGGUCCGGCAAGACCGGCGUACUUCAUGAUCCAGUAUUUGCUUUGAGUCCUAACGUGUUGUUGGUGGAGGUUUUUAGACAAAUGGGAGAGAACCACUUUGUUAAUUUGUUUCUAGUAUCUACAGCAUAUUUAUAGCUAUGCUAUAUUAGAACGUUGAAAAAAAAUUAUAAGUUGUUUUCCAAAUUUGCCAUUGCAGCUUUACUUCUUUUAAUUUGUUUUUAACUAACAGAUGCAAGACAGGCUCACUAUUUUAUCGAUAGCUUAAAAGCUUGACAUAACGUUUUCUGGACAUGCUGUAUGUCUCUUCACCCAGACAACACCAGGUUAGCUACUUCAGAAUUAGCUGCUAGCUUCUUGGCAUCCACAAACCAUGUGCUCUUUGCUCAGAUUUGGCUUACAGUAAUCUGGUUCCACACAAAUAAGAGCAAACAGAUGUGAAACAAGCAGAGGAUUUGAGUUUUCCUUCACAUCCCAUCUAUAAGCUCUAAAAGUGGACCCUAACAGAACCUAACAGCGUCAUUGGGUGUCAUUAUCUGGAAUAAUAUUCAAAUUUUCCGAGUUGUUAGAGCAACCUAAUUCCCAUUUCAAUAGCUGAAGUUUAAUUGCACGGUUGCCCUGGCAGACUUGUGCCGUCACUUCUCGGGGCAAAGAGACAGGAUGUGUCCAAGUGAAAUAAUUGGCCUGGAGCUCAGAAGAGCUCUAAAUUACUCUCACUUGGUCUCCCUGUUCCCUGGAGUGUGAACAGUGGCAGCAAACAGGGAGGAGAGAUUUUUACCAGAUGCAGCAGGACAUGGGACAUUUAAUUAGUCCCCAAUUUUGGAUAAAUGGGAGAAAGUGUGAUGUGGUUGUGAGAACGUCGGUUUUCAGGGCUCCAUUCAACACAUUUGAUCGUAAUAAAGACAACUAGGUCUUUUCUCUUCACCAGUUACAUAAUCCAUUAGUCUUACCCAGGGAAUUUAAAACAAACAACUUUAUUUGUCUCUGACAAGAAGUAGCAGGGUAUUAAAUAGACUUCCUCAAAAAACAAACAAGGAAUCUUCCCUUGUUUUAAUGUAACAGCUGUUACAGAUGUUUUUGUGAUGUUUUCUGUUUUGUUGGAAAUAGUCUUAACUCUGGCCUGAUGUGAUGUGGUCCUGUAAAUCAUAUCAGCUCAAGCCUUGUCAAUCACACACACACACACACACACAGAGAGAGAAAGAGAGAGAGAGAGAGAGAGAGAGAGAGAGAGAGAGAGAGAGAGAGAGAGAGAGAGAGAGAGACAGACAGAAGAAACAAUAAAAUGUUCAUGGUGGGAAAAGGAAGCACACAUCUGUUUCAUUCUCUCCAGGUUGUCAUGGUAACAGUUGCCUUAAAGUUGAAUACCCACCUGUACACAGAAGCUUUGUAGUGGUGGAUACCUCACUUUUUUUGGGUGUGGUGGUGAAGAUGGUGAUGUACACCACGUUCUGUCUAUGUACUUCCUACUAGAUAGAAUGUAACCUUUUUGAGUUAGAAUGUUAUUGCACUUGUUGACUUUGUAUUGUCACAAAAGGAGAAAUAAAGUUUUAUCUUUUCCAGUGUGUUUAAA